UUAAUUCCAAAAAUGACUUUCAUUUCCAUUGCAGGACGCAUGACGCGUCCUCAUUAAGUGUAAUUAACACAAAGCGCUAUAAUUAUGUUAAAGUAAAUGGUGUGAAAAUGUCAAAACCUGACGCUGGACCAGAUAAUCCCGAAGAGGACUCCCCGAAGAAGAAAGUGAGGUUUUGGCACCGAACAAUUGUAGUUAAAGGACUUGAGCGAGCAACAACCUUCAUCAUGAUUAUGUCCGCAAUGUUUAUAACGACCUUUGUCGUAACACUAUUGGCUUGCAUCAGUUAAUUCCACUCCAAGCGUUGACAGUUUCUAUGAAGAAGGUUUACUGAGGAAAUGGAAUUAAGCAAGUUUAUGGCUGUUAUUAGCAGACUCUGCACUGUGAAGAGUUUAGAUUUUGAUGUAUCAAAUGUAAGAUUUACGCAAUAAACUCAUUUUUUUACUUUAAUCUGGACACCAUCUUAUACAGAAGGGCCACCUCGAAGUUUAAAUUCUGUGUAUCUCUCUCUUCAUAUCCCACACUCUUGCCAAAAGUUUUACAUUUUAGGUUUACAACAUUCAAGACCCAUGGAGAUUAUUAAUGUGAAUUGCUAUCAUUUUCACUCUUUUACUACGUAUACCUAUAGUGAUCUUCAGGUGUUUCUAAAAAAGACUAAGUUGAAUAUAAUUAUAUUAAUUUAAUAUUACCUUUUUCCGCAGAGUCCAGCAUUUUGAAAUAUAAUACCACAAUAAUACCUAAAAUUAUAAAUAACCAAAAAACAAAAAGUUUACUUGCAAAGUGCCUUAAUUUGCCCAUGCUCCCAUGCGUACGAAAAUAUAGUUCGUUGUUUAUCUCUUACACUUAU